GACGAACGCUGGCGGCGUGCUUAACACAUGCAAGUCGAACGAAGAGCGAUGGAAGCUUGCUUCUAUCAAUCUUAGUGGCGAACGGGUGAGUAACGCGUAAUCAACCUGCCCUUCAGAGGGGGACAACAGUUGGAAACGACUGCUAAUACCGCAUACGAUCUAAACUCGGCAUCGAGGAUAGAUGAAAGGUGGCCUCUACAUGUAAGCUAUCACUGAAGGAGGGGAUUGCGUCUGAUUAGCUAGUUGGAGGGGUAACGGCCCACCAAGGCGAUGAUCAGUAGCCGGUCUGAGAGGAUGAACGGCCACAUUGGGACUGAGACACGGCCCAGACUCCUACGGGAGGCAGCAGUGGGGAAUCUUCCGCAAUGGACGAAAGUCUGACGGAGCAACGCCGCGUGAGUGAUGACGGCCUUCGGGUUGUAAAGCUCUGUUAAUCGGGACGAAAGGCCUUCUUGCGAAUAGUGAGAAGGAUUGAGGG
rnacentral:rRNA from 1 species